CAGUAGCCGCGGGAAUACGAAGGGUGCAAGCGUUACUCGGAAUUACUGGGCGUAAAGCGUGCGUAGGUGGUGGUUUAAGUCCGUUGUGAAAGUCCUGGGCUCAACCUGGGAAUUGCAGUGGAUACUGGGUCACUAGAGUGUGGUAGAGGAUAGUGGAAUUUCCGGUGUAGCAGUGAAAUGCGUAGAGAUCGGAAGGAACAUCUGUGGCGAAGGCGACUAUCUGGGCCAACACUGACACUGAGGCACGAAAGCGUGGGGAGCAAACAGGAUUAGAUACCCCCGUAGUCCCUGUCUCUUAUAU
rnacentral:rRNA from 1 species